UAGAGUUUGAUCCUGGCUCAGGAUGAACGCUGGCGGUCUGCUUAACACAUGCAAGUCGAACGGGACUCUUCGGAGUUUAGUGGCGGACGGGUGAGUAACGCGUGAGAAUCUGCCCUUAGGUUGGGGACAACAGUUGGAAACGACUGCUAAUACCCAAUGUGCCGAGAGGUGAAAGGUUAACUGCCUGGGGAUGAGCUCGCGUCUGAUUAGCUAGUUGGAGUGGUAACGGCACACCAAGGCGACGAUCGGUAGCUGGUCUGAGAGGAUGAUCAGCCACACUGGGACUGAGACACGGCCCAGACUCCUACGGGAGGCAGCAGUGGGGAAUUUUCCGCAAUGGGCGAAAGCCUGACGGAGCAAGACCGCGUGAGGGAGGAAGGCCUAUUGGUUGUAAACCUCUUUUGAUAGGGAAGAACACAAUGACGGUACCUAUCGAAUCAGCAUCGGCUAACUCCGUGCCAGCAGCCGCGGUAAUACGGAGGAUGCAAGCGUUAUCCGGAUUUAUUGGGCGUAAAGCGUCCGUAGGUGGCAAACCAAGUCAGUUGUUAAAGCGUAGAGCUUAACUCUAUAAGGGCAAUUGAAACUGGUUAGCUAGAGUGCGAUAGGGGCAAGGGGAAUUCCCAGUGUAGCGGUGAAAUGCGUAGAUAUUGGGAAGAACAUCGGUGGCGAAGGCGCCUUGCUGGGUCUGCACUGACACUGAGGGACGAAAGCUAGGGGAGCGAAAGGGAUUAGAUACCCCUGUAGUCCU
rnacentral:rRNA from 1 species